rnacentral:rRNA from 1 species
UACGUAGGGUGCAAGCGUUAAUCGGAAUUACUGGGCGUAAAGCGUGCGCAGGCGGCUUUGCAAGACAGAUGUGAAAUCCCCCGGGCUCAACCUGGGGAACUGCAUUUGUGACUGCAAGGCUAGAGUACGGUAGAGGGGGAUGGAAUUCCGCGUGUAGCAGUGAAAUGCGUAGAUAUGCGGAGGAACACCGAUGGCGAAGGCAAUCCCCUGGACCUGUACUGACGCUCAUGCACGAAAGCGUGGGGAGCAAACAGG